UUAAUCUAAUCAACAAACUCUCAAAGGUUCGUUCAUUUCCCUGAAUGAAUAAAUAUCCAGUGAUUCUUCUCAUCUCCCCUCUAUAUCUACCCCCUCUUUCUCAUUCCUAGCUGCGCCGCCGUGGCCAAAGCCUUCACGUGAUCUGGUCGCAGAAGAUGUGGUAGUAUCGCCCGUUUAUUCCUCCGCAUAGACUAAUCUCACUGAUUGAUGGAUUUCCUUCUCCCUCUUCAUCUUCUCAACCGAUGGAGCUGCUCCACAGGUCUCCACGCCCUUUGCUCUUGAGGAUUCAUUGGGUCUCUAUCAGAAGUUGGUGUGCCGGAGCGGAGCAAUCUAAAACCCAACUAGACACGGUAUUUUGGAUUUCAAUUUUGUCAUGCUUCAAUCCUCACGCCGUAUCAGCCUUGGCUGGGUUCGCCAGAAAACCUUGCAACCAAAAUUUUGAGUAAUAUGAAGAGUCAGUUCUUCUACUGUGUCCAGCACCCCCCCCCAAGUGUAUUGGUUCAAUUAUGUCCUCGACAUCACAAUCCAUGUAAGUGGAAAAAAUUGUGUUUCACUUCAUGUAAGUCUAAAGUGUGAGUUGCAUGUCGUCAUGAUAACUAUAUAUUAUUAAUUAACUUUACGGAUCAUCCGAUGGAUGUUUAAAAUAUACUCCCUCAUUAUACUGUUUGUCAGUUCUAAUUUAUAACCGUUUCAACAAGCAAAGUAAGUUCUAAUUGUUUCUGUUUUUAGAAUAAGAUAGAUAGAAAUGUUUGAGUCAGCAAAAUCUGAGAUCUACACACUGCUGCCUGCUCGGAGCCUUGUGGUGCUUCCCUCUAUCAAGCAUGUUUCUAUAGUUGAGUGCUCAGCAGUGGAGAAUGUUCUUGAAUGUUCGGCAGUGGAGAAUGUUCUAUAGUUGCAAACUGCUACAUGUCUCAAUGUUUCUAUAGUUGAAUGCUCGACAGUGGAGAAUGUUCUCAUGCACGUGCUUCUCUGGGAUGUAAGUGUGUGAAGACAAACAAGGACACUGUACUAUUUCUGGUUUGGCGAUAGAUGUUACCAUUUUUUCCACCUAUGCUAGAAGGUGCUCAGUUUUCAAACAUGCAGGUGUAGUUACAAUCAAACAUUCUUCUAUAAGGUUUAAACUUUGAUAUUA